UAAGGGGCCGUAGCCGGUUUUGUAAAUCUCUUGUGAAAUCGUGGGGCUUAACCCAACGGCGUGCAGGAGACACUGCAAAACUAGGGACCGGGAGGAGCUAGAGGUGUUCAUUGGGGAGCGGUAAAAUGCAAUAAUCCAACGAAGACCACCUGUGGCGAAGGCGUCUAGCCAGAACGGAUCCGACGGUGAGGGACGAAAGCCAGGGGAGCGAACCGGAUUAGAUACGAGAAAUUUUCUUAGAAAAUUUAUUGGAUUUAGCGAGAUAAAUUCGCUUGAUAACUAUUUAUCUCCAAAAUGAAUCCAAAAAUAAUUGAAAAUUUUCUUGCUAAAUACCCGAGUAGUCCUGGCCGUAAACUCUGCGAGCAAGGUGUUGCACAUUCUUCGUGAAUGUGCAGUGUCGAAGCGAAGGCAUUAAGCUCGCCGCCUGGGAAGUAUAGUCGCAAGACCGAAACUUAAAGGAAUUGGCGGGGGAGCACUACAAGGGGUGCGGCGUGCGGUUUAAUCUAACUCAACACAGAGAAUCUCACCAGAGGCGACGGCAGGAAGAUUGUCAGUCUAAAGGGCUUACAGGACGAGCCGAGAGGUAGUGCAUGGCCGCCGUCAGCUCGUGCCGUAAGGUGUCCUCUUAAGUGAGGCAACGAGCGAGACCUGUACCCACAAUUGCUAGCGGCAUAUAUGGACCGAGCACAUUGUGGGGACUGCCUUGGAAACAAGGAGGAAAGUGCAGCUACGGUAGGUACGCAUGCCCCUAAAAGCCGAUUCAGACCCU
rnacentral:rRNA from 1 species